rnacentral:rRNA from 1 species
GACGAACGCUGGCGGCGUGCUUAACACAUGCAAGUCGAACGGAAAGGCCUGUCCUUCCUUGUGUUGGACGGGUACUCGAGUGGCGAACGGGUGAGUAACACGUGAGUGAUCUGCCCCCAACUUGGGUAUAAGCCUGGGAAACUGGGUCUAAUUCCCGAUAGGACUGCAGGGUGGUGCCUGUGGUGGAAAACGAUUUUCUAGUGGUUGGGGAUGAGCUCGCGGCCUAUCAGCUUGUUGGUGGGGUAAUGGCCUACCAAGGCGGCGACGGGUAGCCGGCCUGAGAGGGUGGACGGCCACAUUGGGACUGAGAUACGGCCCAGACUCCUACGGGAGGCAGCAGUGGGGAAUAUUGCACAAUGGGCGGAAGCCUGAUGCAGCGACGCCGCGUGGGGGAUGACGGCCUUCGGGUUGUAAUCUCCUUUCGACCGCGAGGAAGCCGCCUGGUUGGAAGGGUGGUGACGGUAGUGGUAGAAGAAGCACCGGCUAACUACGUG